rnacentral:rRNA from 1 species
AACGAACGCUGGCGGCAUGCCUAACACAUGCAAGUCGAACGAGAUCUUCGGGUCUAGUGGCGCACGGGUGCGUAACGCGUGGGAAUCUGCCCUUUGGUUCGGAAUAACAGUUGGAAACGACUGCUAAUACCGGAUGAUGACGAAGGUCCAAAGAUUUAUCGCCAGAGGAUGAGCCCGCGUAGGAUUAGCGAGUUGGUGUGGUACAGGCGCACCAAGGCGACGAUCCUUAGCUGGUCUGAGAGGAUGAUCAGCCACACUGGGACUGAGACACGGCCCAGACUCCUACGGGAGGCAGCAGUGGGGAAUAUUGGACAAUGGGCGAAAGCCUGAUCCAGCAAUGCCGCGUGAGUGGUGAAGGCCUUAGGGUUGUAAAGCUCUUUUACCCGGGAUGAUAAUGACAGUACCGGGAGAAUAAGCUCCGGCUAACUCCGUGCCAGCCGCCGCGGUAA